rnacentral:rRNA from 1 species
GAUGAGCGCUGGCGGCGUGCCUAAUACAUGCAAGUCGAGCGAACAGACGAGGAGCUUGCUCCUCUGACGUUAGCGGCGGACGGGUGAGUAACACGUGGAUAACCUACCUAUAAGACUGGGAUAACUUCGGGAAACCGGAGCUAAUACCGGAUAAUAUAUUGAACCGCAUGGUUCAAUAGUGAAAGACGGUUUUGCUGUCACUUAUAGAUGGAUCCGCGCCGCAUUAGCUAGUUGGUAAGGUAACGGCUUACCAAGGCAACGAUGCGUAGCCGACCUGAGAGGGUGAUCGGCCACACUGGAACUGAGACACGGUCCAGACUCCUACGGGAGGCAGCAGUAGGGAAUCUUCCGCAAUGGGCGAAAGCCUGACGGAGCAACGCCGCGUGAGUGAUGAAGGUCUUCGGAUCGUAAAACUCUGUUAUUAUGGAAGAACAAAUGUGUAAGUAACUAUGCACGUCUUGACGGUACCUAAUCAGAAAGCCACGGCUAACUACGUG